GCAUCUCGUUAGAUCAAACAUGGAAAAGAAAAGAAAGGAAACUAAUCAAACGCUCCUUAGCGGUGAGUGAGGUUAAAAGAACCAUUUGACAGUUGGUGGAAACGGUAACUAAGCAGCAAAAGGCAAAACGCAUCGUUGGCUGUUUACGCGCUUUUUGGACAACUCCGUGACUUCUCCAACGUCGCCAAGCAGCUGGGACCCGCUCGGCUUGCCUCAUAAUUUUGGCUAAAGGCGAAAGUAAUUACCAAAGCGAAGAACAGAAUAUGCUUUGCUCUUCGCUGCAAAUAUCCCUUACCCGCGCCUCCCCCCCCUCUCCUCUCUCUCUCUCUCUCCAAUCAU
rnacentral:misc_RNA from 1 species